GUGUCAGCAGCCGCGGUAAUACGUAGGCAGCGAGCGUUGUUCGGAGUUACUGGGCGUAAAGGGUGUGUAGGCGGUCGUUUAAGUUUGGUGUGAAAUCUCCCGGCUCAACUGGGAGGGUGCGCCGAAUACUGAGCGGCUAGAGUGCGGGAGAGGAGAGUGGAAUUCCUGGUGUAGCGGUGAAAUGCGUAGAUAUCAGGAGGAACACCGGCGGUGUAGACGGCUCUCUGGACCGUAACUGACGCUGAGACACGAAAGCGUGGGUAGCAAACAGGAUUAGAAACCCGCGUAGUCC
rnacentral:rRNA from 1 species